AGAGUUUGAUCAUGGCUCAGAUUGAACGCUGGCGGAAUGCUUUACACAUGCAAGUCGAACGGCAGCACGGGAGCUUGCUCCUGGUGGCGAGUGGCGAACGGGUGAGUAACAUAUCGGAACGUACCUAGUAAUGGGGGAUAACUAGUCGAAAGAUUAGCUAAUACCGCAUACGCCCUGAGGGGGAAAGCGGGGGAUCGUAAGACCUCGCGUUAUUAGAGCGGCCGAUAUCUGAUUAGCUAGUUGGUGGGGUAAAGGCCCACCAAGGCGACGAUCAGUAGCUGGUCUGAGAGGACGACCAGCCACACUGGAACUGAGACACGGUCCAGACUCCUACGGGAGGCAGCAGUGGGGAAUUUUGGACAAUGGGCGCAAGCCUGAUCCAGCCAUUCCGCGUGAGUGAAGAAGGCCUUCGGGUUGUAAAGCUCUUUCGCAAGGGAAGAACACUUAGUCUCUAACAUAGACUGAGGUUGACGGUACCUUGAUAAGAAGCACCGGCUAACUACGUGCCAGCAGCCGCGGUAAUACGUAGGGUGCGAGCGUUAAUCGGAAUUACUGGGCGUAAAGCGUGCGCAGGCUGUUUUGUAAGUCAGAUGUGAAAUCCCCGAGCUCAACUUGGGAACUGCGUUUGAAACUACAAGACUAGAAUAUGUCAGAGGGGGGUAGAAUUCCACGUGUAGCAGUGAAAUGCGUAGAGAUGUGG
rnacentral:rRNA from 1 species